rnacentral:rRNA from 1 species
GAUGAACGCUGGCGGCGUGCCUAAUACAUGCAAGUCGAGCGAACAGACGAGGAGCUUGCUCCUUUGACGUUAGCGGCGGACGGGUGAGUAACACGUGGAUAACCUACCUAUAAGACUGGGAUAACUUCGGGAAACCGGAGCUAAUACCGGAUAACAUGUUGAACCGCAUGGUUCAGCAGUGAAAGACGGUCUUGCUUUCACUUAUAGAUGGAUCCGCGCCGCAUUAGCUAGUUGGUAAGGUAACGGCUUACCAAGGCAACGAUGCGUAGCCGACCUGAGAGGGUGAUCGGCCACACGGGAACUGAGACACGGUCCAGACUCCUACGGGAGGCAGCAGUAGGGAAUCUUCCGCAAUGGGCGAAAGCCUGACGGAGCAACGCCGCGUGAGUGAAGAAGGUCUUCGGAUCGUAGAACUCUGUUAUUAGGGAAGAACAAAUGUGUAAGUAACUAUGCACGUCUUGACGGUACCUAAUCAGAAAGCCACGGCUAACUACGUG